AUGAUUUUGGUGCCUUUGUGCUAUCUUCCCCAGGUCAGCAGAUGGAAGGAGGGAGGGAAAAAGCAAGCAGAACGUGCAUGCCACAGCCUGGCUUCAGUCAUUUGGCAGUCAGAGCAGGGCCUUCCCGAGACCCUGUAUACGUGCUGUCUCCUGAGUGCUGGUGGAGAAGACCUUUGGACCAAUGUUUUCUGGUGUCUCAGGAAGAAAUGCAAGGCAAUGCCCAUCUCCAUCAGACAAGUUUGAGCUAGUGCAUGACUUUCUGAUGGGGGAUCUCAGUAUAACUAUCUACUUAGGCGCAGUAAAUAUUAAGUAGCUUUGAUAUAAAGGAAAAUGAUAUUUAUUUAUUUUUUGCCACAUACAAUAACAAAAUUUAUUUCAAAAAUAUUUUGUUGUAUUUCAAUUAUUAUUAUUUUUUAAACUGACAAUCCAUUCUAUUCUAGAGUUAUCUGUAAAUGUUCUUAAUAAUUUGGUGUUACUUUGUUACUUGAAUUAUUUGUUUUAGCCUACAGAAAGAGUACAGGGAUUAUUGCAUAUUGUGUUCAAGAUCUGCAAUGUGACAUUCAUUUUGUGAACGUUUCUAAGUGAUAUUUCUGUUCUUUGAUUGGAUGAGUUCCUAAUUAGAAGUUUUCAGGAAAUACUUGUGAACUCUUUGUGUGUGUUGCAUAUUCAUCAAGGUAUUUGCCAUUACUUACACGAACAUUCGUUAUCUUUACCUAGAAAUAAUUAAAAAAUAACUAUUGUUUGCCUGACUAUUCACUUAAAGAUAAAAUUCAUCAAAUGGGAUAAGGACUCACUUAUUUACCAGGUAUUUACACACAUCAUUUGGUCAAAAUAGAUUGAUUAAGAAAUCUAUUAGAGAUGCCAUUUACACACAUGCAUAUGCCAUAUUUAAUUCCCAACCAAUGGGCUGUUUUCAUUGCUUCCUCUGCAUGAUUGCUCUGCAUUCUAGUAAACUAAUUUUCAGAGUGGUUUCUUAAAAUUUAGUCUUCUCUAUUCUGAUUUUAUCUCAUUAUUUGUCAUGUACCACAUUAAAUAAUUAUUAUUCACUGCAUUAACAUUUUUAUUAUUAUUAUUAUUUUGUAGGCUGUUGUCAUGCUUUCACUCAGUAAUGGUUUUAUCUAUUCUUUUGUUUGGUGAAUCACAUGCUUUGGUUCUUUCACUAUUUUUCCUUUGUUUUGAUUUUUUUUAGCAUCUCAAUUUUGUUACUUUCUUUCUGGAAAUGUAUUGUUCUAAAAUGAACAAA
rnacentral:lncRNA from 1 species